GACGAACGCUGGCGGCGUGCUUAACACAUGCAAGUCGAGCGGGGUCCAUCCGGUAGCAAUACCGGUGAAGACCUAGCGGCGAACGGGUGAGUAACACGUGAGCAACCUGCCCCGAAGUCUGGGAUAACACCGGGAAACCGGUGCUAAUACCGGAUGUCCUCAUCGAGUCACCUGGCUUGAUGAGGAAAGAUUUAUCGCUUCGGGAGGGGCUCGCGGCCUAUCAGCUUGUUGGCGGGGAACGGCCCACCAAGGCUUCGACGGGUAGCUGGUCUGAGAGGACGACCAGCCACACUGGGACUGAGACACGGCCCAGACUCCUACGGGAGGCAGCAGUGGGGAAUCUUGCGCAAUGGGCGAAAGCCUGACGCAGCAACGCCGC
rnacentral:rRNA from 1 species